AUCACCGACUCUCCAGCAAGUGACACUAACAGCUGGGUAACACACUGGAAGCCUUAGGAGAAGAGGGUGAGAUAUCUCCUCUAAAGGAGGCAACUCUGGCAAGAUCUUGGCUCCAACUGUUGUUAAAACUAUUUUUUCAAAACAGCAGAGAUGUGGUAGAGGAACCUCCCUAUGGAUAUUCCUGUCACUUACUAUAAAUUAUGGAGAAAAUCACAGACCUACUCCUUGGAAAUACCAGAAACAUGCAAGAGCACAGGCCAGAGCAACCUACAGAAGGGCACAAAGUGUGUGAGAACUGAUGUUUGGUCCAGAAGAUGCAUACAUUCGUGCUUGUCUUAAAACAUUUAGACAAUGACCAUGAAAGAAUACUCCCAUAUUUAGUCCAUGGCUAGGACCUCAAAAGACAAGAUAGCCUCUGAAUGUCUGAAAGAACAGACAAAUGUAACAGCAUGGCAGACGUCAUGCUUC